AACUCUCAACAACGGAUAUCUUGGCUCCCGUAACGAUGAAGAACGCAGUGUGAAUUGCAGAAUUCCGUGAACCAUCGAAUCUUUGAACGCAAAUUGCGCUCGAGGCUUCGGCCAAGAGCAUGUCUGCCUCAGCGU
rnacentral:rRNA from 1 species